rnacentral:rRNA from 1 species
GACGAACGCUGGCGGCGUGCUUAACACAUGCAAGUCGAACGGUAAGGCCCUGCUUUUGUGGGAUGCUCGAGUGGCGAACGGGUGAGUAACACGUGAGUAGCCUGCCCUUGACUUUGGGAUAACUUCAGGAGACUGGGACUAAUACAGGAUAGGACCACCUGAUGCAUGGUGGGGGUUGGAAAGUUUCGGCGGUUGGGGAUGGACUCGCGGCUUAUCAGCUUGUUGGUGGGGUAGUGGCUUACCAAGGCAUUGACGGGUAGCCGGCCUGAGAGGGUGACCGGCCACAUUGGGACAGAGAUACGGGCCAGAGCCAUACGGGAGGCAGCAGUGGGGAAUAGUGCACAAUGGGCGGAAGCCGGAUGCAGCAACGCCGCGUGCGGGAUGACGGUCUUCGGGGUGGAAACCGCUUUCGCCUGUGACGAAGCGUGAGUGACGGUAAUGGGUAAAGAAGCACCGGCUAACUACGUG